AUGGCUGCUGUUAUCUACAAGAGGGACAGGAUGUGAGCACUGAAGCUCUUGCUUUGUGUAUUCCAGACCAUAAAUUCCAGAGGGUACAUUAUUCUGAGAGUUUCUUACAGGGAGGGCUACAAGAUUUCUCUUCUCUAAUGAGCAGUGAAGGAAGGAACGUUAUGUAAGAGGAGGAUUCUCUGGAGAGCUGGGUUUGAUUCUUGACUCUGACAUUGAGCUGUGGCACAGUUUUGGGAAAAUCUAGAGAGCGUGUCUGUCAGGCCACGGCUUUCAUUGAGAGGAAAUUGAAGGAAAUCAGGACCCAGGCUGCACAGAGAGCUUCCAACCAGCCAGCUGAGCUCCUUGUUAGUGAUACAUGACGCAAAAUGCACAAUGAUAAUUUUGGAGGGAGGAAAUCAUUCCGGGCUGUUCCACCAGGGAAAGAAAACUGCUGAUGUUCAAGUGGUUUGAGCAGCUCUGUGUUUGCUACCAGCUGACAACGAGUCCUGCAGAGCAGUGACUGGCAGAUGAUGGACAGAUAUUGCUGCCUGGAAGAGAUGAACACGUAGGAAAACAGUCAGACAAGCCAGCAGAUGAAUAGAUCUGCUGCUCCCUGAUUGUUUCUGCUGCCGAGAUUACAAGUGUAAGAGACUGACUGAUUGAUUAUCUUCCUCCUCAAUACUUAAUGGUUAUAAUAAUAGCUGGGGUCAAUCUGCCAGCAGUUGCUCAUGAAAAGUAAUUAAUCUGGUUCAUACCCUCACCCAGGGGAAGAUAAAUUAUGGAUGUAUCUUCCUCUGGUUGUCCUUUGCAGAAU